rnacentral:rRNA from 1 species
ACUCCUACGGGAGGCAGCAGUCGAGAAUCAUUGUCAAUGCGCGAAAGCGUGAACAUGCGACGCCGCGUGGAGGAUGACGGCCUUCGGGUUGUAAACUCCUGUCAUACAGGGAGCAAUCGUUUCGGUUUUAAUACAACCGGGACUUGAUGGUACCUUAAGAGGAAGCCACGGCUAACUCUGUGCCAGCAGCCGCGGUAAUACG